UUAACCUCUUUCUUACGAUCAGAAGGUCCUGAGAAUUGAGACAGCCUCUGAACAAAUUCUUCCAUGGUUUUUUCCUUCUUUUCUUUAAACAUUCCACCUGCCAUCAAACUCACUGUCCUUCUAAGGUCACUGGUAUCAUUGCCAAGCGAGUUUGUAAAAUCUUCAAAUUCAAUAUCUUCCUCCAAAUCAAAAUCGGAAUCACCUUCUAAGUCCUUAUU
rnacentral:misc_RNA from 1 species